UAGGUGGGUCAUGCCAGAUGCAACAGAUGC
rnacentral:piRNA from 1 species